CGUCUAGGCGGGGAAUUAAGUUAGGUGUGAAAUCCAUGGGCUCAACUCGUGAAUGGCAUCUAAAACUGGUUCUCUUGAGUCCGGGAGAGGAGAGCAGAAUUCCUGGCGUAGCGGUGAAAUGCGUAGAUAUCAGGAGGAAUACCAGUGGCGAAGGCGGCUCUCUGGCCUAGGACUGACGCUGAAGCGCGAAAGCGUGGGGAGCGAACG
rnacentral:rRNA from 1 species